UACGGGGGGGAGCAAGCGUUGUUCGGAUUUACUGGGCGUAAAGGGCGCGUUAGGCGGUCGUGACAAGUCACUUGUGAAAUCUCCGGGCUUAACUCGGAACGGUCAAGUGAUACUGUCGGACUAGAGUACAGAAGGGGCAACUGGAAUUCUCGGCGUAGCGGUGAAAUGCGUAGAUAUCGAGAGGAACACCAGUGGCGAAGGCGACUUCCUGGCCUGUUCUUGACGCUGAGGCGCGAAAGCUAGGGGAGCAAACGGG
rnacentral:rRNA from 1 species